CAUUCGAGGUCGAUGGCUUCGUCCGAAAUUGCAUACUACGCACUACAUACCCAAUAUGUGUACUAUCCUUCAACAUACUUUUGUGUGAAUAACAGAAGUAUGUACUGUAUCUUUUCGGAUGCACUGUAGUAAUUUAUAUCGUUACUUCCUGAGAGCCUCCUGCCGGUUGGAGACGUGUAAC